GUAGGUGGCAAGCGUUGUCCGGAAUUAUUGGGCGUAAAGCGCGCGCAGGCGGUUCUUUAAGUCUGAUGUGGAAGCCCACGGCUCAACCGUGGAGGGUCAUGGAAACUGGAGAACUUGAGUACAGAAGAGGAAAGCGGAAUUCCACGUGUAGCGGUGAAAUGCGUAGAGAUGUGGAGGAACACCAGUGGCGAAGGCGGCUUUCUGGUCUGUAACUGACGCUGAGGCGCGAAAGCGUGGGGAGCAAACAGGGAUUAGAUACCCUGGUAGUCCACGCCGUAAACGAUGAGUGCUAAGUGUUAGGGGGUUUCCGCCCCCUUAGUGCUGCAGCUAACGCAUUAAGCACUCCGCCUGGGGAGUACGGCCGCAAGGCUG
rnacentral:rRNA from 1 species